rnacentral:sRNA from 1 species
UUUUUUUUUGACAUCAGACUCACACUUGGCCUUACCUUUUUGUUUCUCGUUUUUCUCUUACUCUCUUUUUUCCUAAGAUUACUGUU